rnacentral:rRNA from 1 species
CCUACGGGUGGCAGCAGUGAGGAAUAUUGGUCAAUGGACGAGAGUCUGAACCAGCCAAGUAGCGUGAAGGAUGACUGCCCUAUGGGUUGUAAACUUCUUUUAUAUGGGAAUAAAAUGUUCCACGUGUGGGAUUUUGUAUGUACCAUAUGAAUAAGGAUCGGCUAACUCCGUGCCAGCAGCCGCGGUAAUACGGAGGAUCCGAGCGUUAUCCGGAUUUAUUGGGUUUAAAGGGAGCGUAGGUGGAUUGUUAAGUCAGUUGUGAAAGUUUGCGGCUCGACCGUAAAAUUGGAGUUGAAACUGGCAGUUUGAAGUAAAGUAGAGGUGGGCGGAAUUCGUGGGGUAGCGGUGAAAUGCUUAGAUAUCACGAAGAACUCGGAUUGCGAAGGCAGUUCACUGGACGGCAACUGACACUGAGGCUCGAAAGUGUGGGUAUCAAACAGGAUGAGAUACCCCAGUAGUC